UCCGUAGUUUCUUUUAUAGCCUCCUAAAUUCCUUCUCCCUGAUCCAUUUUCAUCAAUCCAACUUUUGAGUGUUGACAGCUGAGACCCUGAGAGAGGUUGCUUCCAAAGCUGUUUAUUACAGUCAGCCGAGGAUUUGGAUCUGGCCGCUUCGGUUACUCAAAUCUCCGGUAACCGACAUUGGCAGAAACCCCGGGUUCCAGAACUCGGAAAACGCCAUGAGAGUAACUGUGAGGUCUAGCGAAGAUGCAGUUAGCGGAACCAAAGAUGCCGAGUCACUCUUCCGAGGGAAGCCGAUCUCUGAAAUCCGAAAAGUGGAGGCGGCAACUAAGAAGGAGAUUGAAGAGAAGAAAGAAGAGCUCCGACAACUCAUCGGAAACCGGUAUCGCGAUCUAAUCGAUUCCGCGGACUCUAUUGUUCACAUGAAAGCUUCAUGCGAGUCGAUCUCAUCCAACAUUUCCAUGAUUGACCAAGGAAUUCGUUCGCUCUCUGCCGCCGCCGCCGCUGAUACUCCUAAAUUAAGCACUAAUCCGGCAAGGGCCAGAGUUUACGGGAUUGCCAGCCGUGUCAAAUACCUCGUCGAUACGCUGGAGAACAUAUGGGGUUGUCUGGAUGAGUCAAUGUUUCUAGAGGCCUCCGCUAGGUACCUUUGGGCUAAGGAGGUUCACGACAUUAUGGUGAGUAGAGGUGCGGAUAGGGAUUUUUUGUCGAAUUUUCCGUUGCUUAAGCACCAGUGGCAGAUCGUCGAGAGCUUCAAGGGUCAAAUUUCACAGAGGAGCCGGGAGAGAUUGAUGGAUUCUGGACUCGGCGUUGGAGCUUAUGCAGAUGCUCUGGCUGCUGUUGCUGUCAUUGAUGAGCUCGACCCGAAGCAAGCUCUGCGUCUGUUCCUUGAUUCGAGAAGGUCGUGGAUCUCUCAGAGACUAGGUGCCUGUGUGACUGGUAAUUGUGAUUCUGGUUCUGUAAUUCUGCUCUUUUGUGAAAUCGUGAGGAUAAUUCAGGUUAGUCUAGGACAAGUAGGGGAACUGUUUCUGCAAGUUUUGAAUGACAUGCCUUUAUUUUAUAAAACUAUAUUGAGUUCACCACCCGAUUCUCAAUUGUUUGGGGGAAUACCAAAUCCCGAGGAGGAGGUGAGAUUAUGGAAAUUGUUUAGGGAGAAACUUGAGUCUGUGAUGGUGAUGCUUGAUCGGGAUUUCAUUUCUCAAGCUUGUUCAACUUGGUUGAGGAAUUGUGGUGAAGAGAUUGUUAGUAAGAUAAAUGGGAAGUAUUCGAUUGAUGUCAUUGGGAGUGGGCGAGAGCUUGCAUCGGCUGAGAGACUGAUCCGAGAUACAUUGGAUAGUCGGGAGGUUCUAGAAGGGAGUUUGGAUUGGCUGAGGAGUGUUUUUGGUUCUGAGAUCGAGUCACCUUGGAACAGAGUCCGAGAACUUCUUUUGGCAAAUAAUGAAGAUCUUUGGGAUGAAAUAUUUGAGGAUGCUUUUGUUCGGAGGAUGAAAGAUAUUGUUGACUCAGGAUUCAAGGACUUGAGCACAAUUAUUAACAUAAGGGAUUCGAUUCGAGCCAUUUCACUUUCAGAAGAGCAGAUUGGUUUCCUGGCAUACUUGAAUAGACCUUCUACAGGUGGUGGGGUGUGGUUUUUGGAGUCAAACACUAAAAAGUGUGGCACAGGAUCUAGGUUUGAAGCAACAGCAAAUGAGAAUGAUUUCCGCAGCUGUCUCAAUGCCUAUUUUGGACCUGAAGUUAGUCAAAUUAGAGAUGCAGUAGAUAGUAGAUGCCAGACUGUUUUGGAGGAUUUGCUGUGCUUCUUAGAAUCCCAAAAGGCAGCUAUAAGGUUGAAGGAGCUAGCACCAUAUCUACAAGAUAAAUGUUAUGAAAGCAUUUCAACUAUACUUAAGGGACUUGAACAUGAGGUUGAACACUUGUCUGCAUUUCUAGAUGAAGGAAGUAAGGGACCAGGCUCUGAGCCACCAGCUAUAAUUGUUGAGAGAUCUCUAUUCAUUGGAAAACUCUUGUAUGCAUUACAGAAUCACUCUAGUCAUAUACCACUGAUACUUGGUUCUCCAAGGCAAUGGGCCAAUAAAACAGUAAGUGCUGUUUUUGGCAAGUUACCAUCUAUUAUAAGGCCAUCUAGUGUGACCCUUGAUUCCCCUAUUUAUGAUAAUAUCAAAAGGCAAAUGCUCAAUAGCCCUAGAAAAACUUCAUUGGCUACUGCUGCAAUCUUUGGGCUAAAUGACAAUACCCAUCCACGAUUUGAAGAACUUAGCAGGUUUUCACAAGAUCUUUGCAUUAGGGCUCACAACUUGUGGAUAUUGUGGGUGUCCGAUGAGUUAGCAGUUAUACUGCACAGGGAUCUAAAAAGUGAUGAUGCAUUAUCUGCAACAACUUCUUUGAGAGGCUGGGAAGAAACUAUAGUCAAGCAAGAGCAGUCUAAUGAAGGGCAUCCAGAGAUGAAAAUAGCACUUCCUUCCAUGCCUUCUCUCUAUAUUACCUCUUUUCUGUUCCAAUCGUGUAAAGAAAUUCAUUGUGUUGGGGGUCAUGUCCUUGACAAAUUAAUACUUAGGAAAUUUGCAUUGAAGCUCUUGGAAAAGGUGGUUAGUAUUUAUGGGGACUUUCUCUCAACUUUGGAGGCUCAUAGCACUCAGGUGUCAGAAAAAGGGAUCCUGCAAAUCUUGUUGGAUUUGAAAUUCAUUGCUGACAUUCUCUCUGGGGGUGAUUUGAAGAAGAACGAGGAGUCAUCAAAAAAUGCUAAGCCAAAGCUGCCUUUCAGAUGGAAGCAAGAUCAGAAUCAGCCCAACUCUGCCACUAGAGACAGUGUCAUGCAGUUGAUAAAUCGCCUUUCUCAAAUAUUGGAUCCUAUAGACUGGCUUACAUACGAGCCAUACCUCUGGGAGAAUGAGAAACAGUGUUACCUAAGACAUGCUGUCCUCUUUGGGUUCUUUGUACAACUCAAUCGUAUGUACACUGAUAGCAUGCAAAAAUUGCAUACUAAUACUGAGUCCAAUAUAAUGCGGUGUUCCACAGUUCCACGCUUCAAAUACCUUCCAAUCAGUGCCCCAGUAUUGUCUUCAAGGGGGACAGUUAAAUCAUCUCUUCCAACAUCCUUAGAUGAUGUAUCUUCUACGAGCUCCUGGAAAGCAUAUUCAAAUGGAGAACUAACUCCAAAGCUUGAGUUUGAUGAUACCUCAAGCUUUGCAGCUCCAUUGUUCAAGUCUUUCAUGGAGGUUGGUUCUAGAUUUGGAGAGAGUACACUGAAACUCAGCUCCAUGCUUACAGAUAAACAAGUUGGGAGACUCAAGGACAAAUCAGCAGCAGCCAUGUCAACAUUUGGUGACAUACUCCCUGUCCAAGCUGCAGGUCUUCUUUCAUCCUUCACAGCUUCAAGAUCAGAGCCUUGAUUGCUAGAUGAGGUUCACUAUUUUCUUCGAUCAAGAAAUAUCUGUAAUUUAGUGCAGUACCAUAUACUAUUUUCUUCAUCAACUCGGAAGAUAUUGUGCAAAUUCAACUGCUCGGAAGUUGAUGAGGAGAUGGUAUCCACAUCCAGAUGUGGUUCAUAUAUGGAGUGAUAGAUACGCAUACAACAAAUCAAAAAGGAAGGUGAAAGAGAAGAUGGAAGUUAUAGACUUAUAGUUGAGGAUGUUGGGCCUGCAAAUUGGAAUGUGUCUUUGAUAUGGCAGUUUUAUUUUGAAAUUAGUGUGAAAAUAGUUCAGGAAUUUGGCUAUCAGAAGAUACAUAGUUAUGAUACAGUCCAGCGGAAGGCCAUCUGUCUGUCGUGCAAAUCACUUGGAUCUUAUGUUUCAUUGAGAGCAUGCCGUUAUCAGCGGAACCUUUUACCAAAUACUUGGGUACUACUCUUGACUCAACAAUUUUAUUCUAAUGAUUUAUCUUCUAGAAUGUCUAUAAAUCAGCAGUUUUAUAGAGAAAGGGGCGGUUGUCAUAAUGGGGUUGGUAAAAUCUUGAGGCUGCGAGGUAACAUGAUGCAUAAUUAUCAGUGGUUAUUUAGUGGUCUAAUGCAAAUAAGAUAUAUUUAUGCAUCUCUAUAGUUCAAAAUGUAUGGAAGAAGCAUUUUAAUAA